ensembl:lncRNA
GUCAUCCUUUCUGGAUUUUUUUUUUUUUUAAUCACAGCUAAAGAGGAUCAAAAUAUUCUUAUUCCUCAUUGUCUUCUACAGUGAAAUCUUCCUGGAUCUACACCUUAGAGCCACCCCGCAGCUGCCCCAUGUUCAGAAGUGACACAGCUUCUCGAAACCAUGCAAGGUAUGCAGGAGGACUGGCUGAGCCCAGUGAUGGAUGGAUCAGGUCCUGUAGCUCCCCAACGUCAAAAGCAGCUAUCUGAAAGGCCAAGUGUUCCCGACAGUAGUUCAUCAUUCCUCAAUUCAAGGUGCCUCAUCCUCUCCUGAUGUCUCUGCCUCGGCCCCGGCUUCAGGGCAAGCAGUCAGUCACCUCAGCCUGAGAGCAGGGGACUCGUUGCCGAAGAAAAUGACCAUAAUUAUCUCCUGGGCAGGAGCCCCAGCCCCAGCACCUCCCCACACUCCCAGUGAGUCAGUUACAUUAGGCACUGCUUUCAUCCUGGGGCUCUUGUGAAAAGCAGAUACUCCCAGAAGAGGUCAGGUGUUGAGUCACCACCCCUGGUGGCCCACCAUGGGUUUUCUUCCUAAGGUCACUUUCUUCCGAGUUAGGAGGAGUGGGGGUGGGGGGAUCUUCUAAAGGUCAGCGAAGGGAGCCCAGUGGUAAGGAGAAGGCCAGCUAACAGGUCCGACCCAGGGCUCUGGAGUCCCCACGCCUUCUUCCCACUGGCCACUGUGCCCCACCAUUGCCCCUCCACCUCCAGGAGACGAGGCUUAGCCCCCAAGCUAGUCCACACCUCUAGCCCUAUCUCUAGCCCCUCCUACUCUACACCUUUCUCCUCAGAUCUCAAACCUUCACUUUGACCUGCCUGCAUUCUUAGCAAGUCACAUCGCUCCCCUCGACACUCAGCAUGAAUGUAGCAAAACCGGAUGUUGGAAUGAGCCUUUGCCAUUUACACAUACUCUCAUUCCAUUUAUUCUUCAUGGCAAAUCUGCAGUGGGUUGCUAUUAUGUGCAUCCCAUCACCUGGGAAACUGAAGUUUCAAGAAUAUUAAAAAUGAAAUAAUGUCCAGAGGUGGGGGAGGGGAGGGUCUCAGCACUACAUAGAGGCCGCACUGGUUUGAGUCAACAUCUUAUCAGCUAUCUGGUCCUGUGCUGGGGGACAUCAGAGGCAUUCCUGGAAGACCCAGCUCCUCUUCCAGUGUCGUGCCUGAGCAAAGCUUUGAUCCUUCUUUCUUGCUUAUUGUACCAGCCAGAGUCUUCAGUUGAAUAGAAGGGAUGAGAGCAGAUGUCCUUGUCUUAUUCCCAGUCACAGGGGGAAAGCAUUUAUCUC